rnacentral:rRNA from 1 species
GAUGAACGCUGGCGGCGUGCCUAAUACAUGCAAGUCGAGCGAACAGACGAGGAGCUUGCUCCUCUGACGUUAGCGGCGGACGGGUGAGUAACACGUGGAUAACCUACCUAUAAGACUGGGAUAACUUCGGGAAACCGGAGCUAAUACCGCAUAACAUGUUGAACCACAUGGUUCAACAGUGAAAGACGGUCUUGCUGUCACUUAUAGAGGGAUCCGCGCCGCAUUAGCUAGUUGGUAAGUUAACGGCUUACCAAGGCAACGAUGCGUAGCCGACCUAAGAGGGUGAUCGGCCACACUGGAACGGGGACACGGCCCAGACUCCUACGGGAGGCAGCAGUGGGGAAUCUUCCGCAAUGGGCGAAAGCCGGACGGAGAAACGCGGCGUGAGUGAAGAAGGUCUUCGGAUCGUAAAACUCUGUUAUUAGGGAAGAACAAAUGUGUAAGUAACUAUGCACGUCUUGACGGUACCUAAUCAGAAAGCCACGGCUAACUACGUG